rnacentral:piRNA from 1 species
UACUUCAGUAGUAACCCCCAG